rnacentral:rRNA from 1 species
GGCGACGGGUGAGUAACACGUGGAUAACCUACCUAUAAGACUGGGAUAACUUCGGGAAACCGGAGCUAAUACCGGAUAAUAUAUUGAACCGCAUGGUUCAAUAGUGAAAGACGGUUUUGCUGUCACUUAUAGAUGGAUCCGCGUCGCAUUAGCUAGUUGGUAAGGUAACGGCUUACCAAGGCAACGAUGCGUAGCCGACCUGAGAGGGUGAUCGGCCACACUGGAACUGAGACACGGUCCAG